rnacentral:rRNA from 1 species
UGGGGAAUAUUGGACAAUGGGCGCAAGCCUGAUCCAGCCAUGCCGCGUGUGUGAAGAAGGCCUUCGGGUUGUAAAGCACUUUCAGCGAGGAGGAAGGGAGUUGUGUUAAUAGCACAGCUUCUUGACGCUACUCGCAGAAGAAGCACCGGCUAACUCUGUGCCAGCAGCCGCGGUAAUACAGAGGGUGCAAGCGUUAAUCGGAAUUACUGGGCGUAAAGCGCACGUAGGCGGUUUUUAAGUCAGAUGUGAAAGCCCCGGGCUCAACCUGGGAAUUGCAUUUGAAACUGGAAAACUAGAGUGUGUGAGAGGGGGGUAGAAUUCCAAGUGUAGCGGUGAAAUGCGUAGAGAUUUGGAGGAAUACCAGUGGCGAAGGCGGCCCCCUGGCACAACACUGACGCUCAGGUGCGAAAGCGUGGGGAGCAAACAGGAUUAGAUACCCAUGUAGUCCCUGAGCGGGCUGGCAAGGCGCAU